AACGAACGCUGGCGGCGCGUCUUAAGCAUGCAAGUCGGACGGCAAGGGUAGCAAUACCCCUAGAGUGGCGGACUGGUGAGUAACGCGUGGGUGACCUACCCUUGAGAUGGGGAUAGCCAUUAGAAAUAGUGGAUAAUACCGAAUACGCUCACGACCCUGUGGGGAUGUGAGGAAAUCAGGCUACGGCAUGGCUCGAGGCUGGGCCCGCGUCCCAUUAGCUAUUUGGUGAGGUAAAAGCCCACCAAGGCGACGAUGGGUAUCCGGCCUGAGAGGGUGUACGGACACAUUGGGACUGAGAUACGGCCCAAACUCCUACGGGAGGCAGCAGCUAAGAAUAUUCCGCAAUGGACGAAAGUCUGACGGAGCGACGCCGCGUGGAUGAAGAAGGCCGAAAGGUUGUAAAAUCCUUUUGCUGAUGAAGAAUAAGUGUGGUAGGGAAUGACCGCAUGAUGACAUUAGUCGGUGAAUAAGCCCCGGCUAACUACGUGCCAGCCGCCGCCGUAA
rnacentral:rRNA from 1 species